rnacentral:rRNA from 1 species
AAUAUUGGACAAUGGGGGCAACCCUGCUCCAGCCAUGCCGCGCGUGUGAAGAAGGUCGUCGGAUUGUAUAGCACUUUAAGUUGUGAGGAAGGGCUUUAGGUUAAUACCCUGAAGUUUUGACGUUACCAUCAUAAUCAGCACCGGCUAACUCUGUGCCAGCAGUCGCGUUAAUACAGAGGGUGCAAGCGUUAAUCGGAAUUACUGGGCGUAAAGCGCGCGUAGGUGGUUCAGUAAGAUGGGUGUGAAAUCCCCGGGCUUAACCUGGGAACUGCUUUCAUAACUGCUGAGCUAGAGUACGGUAGAGGGUAGUGGAAUUUCCUGUGUAGCGGUGAAAUGCGUAGAUAUAGGAAGGAACACCAGUGGCGAAGGCGACUACCUGGACUGAUACUGACACUGAGGUGCGAAAGCGUGGGGAGCAAAC